CACAGAGAGCCCACUCGUGGCCAAUAUUUUUGGCUUCGGGACGAUCCCACAAUACUCAAGAGAGUCAAGAGCACCCGCCCGAGUUCAGACCCCCCCUCAGCCAUUUCCCAGGUGCUUGUGGUAGUGACUCGACUGCUCUGUGCCUCGGGUUCCUUAUCGGUGGAGGUGGCAGUCACUGCAGCCUGUCCCUUGGUGGGUCGUUAUCUGAGUGUGAUGUUCACGCACGCGAUGUCCUCCGACCGGGCCCGGCGCACACAGAGCUGUCUCCGGCUGUUAGCGGCAGCUUUCCCCACUGUCUCGCCUCCCAGUGCCCCUCGUGGCUGAAAACGGACACAGGCCACCCGCCCCGGCUUUUAUGGGACGCGUGACGGACGAUCCCGACCUAGCAGGACGGCGGUGACCCGGCUCAGCCCGCGAGGCCCAGCGUGGCAUCUCAGGCUUGCCCUGCGGAUUCCCUCACGUCAACACGCAGCUCAGCCCUUUCUCCACCCACAAACCGGGCAACUUCCUCCUCCUCUAUGGAGGGCACGGGGCUGCGCAGAAUCUUCCUGAAAAGAAUGGACAAGGUGUUCCGGAACCUGGUGCUAACAAAACUGCUCGGGAAGCAUCUCUCCCCUGUGGGAAGUCAACCCGCUCCCGAUGGCGAGAAAGUCCCCCUGCUGCAGCCUGGCCCUCCCGGUGGCCAGGAGGCCGGCGGUCCUCCGACGGAGGACGUUUCGGCCGCCCGCCGGGGGUCCUGGUCCGCUACGUGCUCGGAGGCAGCCUGGAGUGUGGUCAUGGGCAGGAGGCACGUGCUGGGAGGCAUUUGGGAGCUGGCCGACUGCCGUCCCGGGGAAGGAAGUGGGCGGCCGGCUGUCUCCUGACCUGCCGGGUUCCUCUUUAUGAGCUUUCAAAAACAAAGGCUGUGUUUGGAGAAGACAGUACAGUAUUCACAGGUACCUGAGGAAGAUGCUGGAAUGUUUGGCUCAGGGAAGCCGGACAAGGCCCAAGGCCUGGAGCCUGUUGUGCAGAUUUGCUUGGAACAAUCCGGUUUUCACGGGGGCCAAGGACAGUGCCUGGCACCGUGCAGACGCAGAGGGUGUAUUUACCGACUGAACGAGGAGAGGAGGUACCCCUUCCAGGGCACAUGUCGGCCACCACGGCUGUGGUCGGGUUGGCCAACCGACGUAGCGCAUUCCCUUGAUCACAGUGAUUGGCUCGGGGACGGCCAUGUGACCUGGACGGACCAGUGAAACUCAGCCCUGCAACUUUUGCCCAAAUUGCCGGGGCAGAGAAGCUUCGUCUCUCUGGAGCGUGCUGCUCUGGGAGCUUUGAAGCGAGGUUCUCCCCGGGGUGCGUCGGUCAUCUGGGGAGAGUUUGCGAAGGCAAACCGGACUGAGAGACGACGAGAAAGUGACUUGGGAAUCUUUGAGUCCCUAGAUCCAGCCAUUCCUGAAGCCACCCUUCCCUAAAGCUUUCCAGUUACCUGGCCCGAUAAAUUCUCUUCUCUGUUCAUAGCA